rnacentral:rRNA from 1 species
GGCGGCAGGCCUAACACAUGCAAGUCGAGCGGUAGCACAAGAGAGCUUGCUCUCUGGGUGACGAGCGGCGGACGGGUGAGUAAUGUCUGGGAAACUGCCUGAUGGCGGGGGAUAACUAGUGGAAACGGUAGCUAAUACCGCAUAACGUCGCAAGACCAAAGUGGGGGACCUUCGGGCCUCACGCCAUCAGAUGUGCCCAGGUAGGAUUAGCUGGUAGGUGGGGUAACGGCUCACCUAGGCGACGAUCCCUAGCUGGUCUGAGAGGAUGACCAGCCACACUGGAACUGAGACACGGUCCAGACUCCUACGGGAGGCAGCAGUGGGGAAUAUUGCACAAUGGGCGCAAGCCUGAUGCAGCCAUGCCGCGUGUGUGAAGAAGGCCUUCGGGUUGUAAAGCACUUCAGCGAGGAGAAAG